rnacentral:rRNA from 1 species
GUCAAGUCAUCAUGGCCCUUACGGCCAGGGCUACACACGUACUACAAUGGUAGGGACAGAGGGCUGCAAGCCGGCGACGGUGAGCCAAUCCCAGAAACCCUAUCUCAGUCCGGAUUGGAGUCUGCAACUCGACUCCAUGAAGUCGGAAUCGCUAGUAAUCGCAGAUCAGCAUUGCUGCGGUGAAUACGUUCCCGGGCCUU